rnacentral:misc_RNA from 1 species
GAUGAAGAACGCAGCGAAAUGCGAUAAGUAGUGUGAAUUGCAGAAUUCAGUGAAUCAUCGAAUCUUUGAACGCACAUUGCGCCCUUUGGUAUUCCUUAGGGCAUGCCUGUUCGAGCGUCAUUUAACCUUCAAGCUAAGCUUGGUGUUGGGUGACUGUCCGCUUCACUGCGGACUCGCCUCAAAAUUAUUGGCGGCCGGUACAUUGGCUUCGAGCGCAGCAGAAACGCGAACUCGGGCCCGUCGUAUUGGCUCCCAGAAGCUAUCUUCACAAUUUUGACCUCGGAUCAGGUAGGGAUACCCGCUGAACUUAAGCAUAUCAAUAGCGGAGGA